rnacentral:rRNA from 1 species
UAGGGAAUCUUCGGCAAUGGGGGCAACCCUGACCGAGCAACGCCGCGUGAGUGAAGAAGGUUUUCGGAUCGUAAAGCUCUGUUGUAAGAGAAGAACGUGUGUGAGAGUGGAAAGUUCACACAGUGACGGUAACUUACCAGAAAGGGACGGCUAACUACGUGCCAGCAGCCGCGGUAAUACGUAGGUCCCGAGCGUUGUCCGGAUUUAUUGGGCGUAAAGCGAGCGCAGGCGGUUUAAUAAGUCUGAAGUUAAAGGCAGUGGCUUAACCAUUGUUCGCUUUGGAAACUGUUAAACUUGAGUGCAGAAGGGGGGAGUGGAAUUCCAUGUGUAGCGGGGAAAUGCGUAGAUAUAUGGAGGAACACCGGUGGCGAAAGCGGCUCUCGGGUCUGUAACUGACGCUGAGGCUCGAAAGCGUGGGGAGCAAACAGG